rnacentral:rRNA from 1 species
GUGGGGAAUAUUGGACAAUGGGCGCAAGCCUGAUCCAGCAAUGCCGCGUGGGUGAAGAAGGUCUUCGGAUCGUAAAGCCCUUUCGACAGGGACGAUGAUGACGGUACCUGUAGAAGAAGCCCCGGCUAACUUCGUGCCAGCAGCCGCGGUAAUACGAAGGGGGCUAGCGUUACUCGGAAUUACUGGGCGUAAAGGGCGCGUAGGCGGCUCUGUUAGUCAGGCGUGAAAUUCCUGGGCUUAACCUGGGGACUGCGCUUGAUACUGCAGGGCUUGAGGCCGAGAGAGGGUGGUGGAAUUCCCAGUGUAGAGGUGAAAUUCGUAGAUAUUGGGAAGAACACCAGUGGCGAAGGCGACCACCUGGACUGAUACUGACACUGAGGUGCGAAAGCGUGGGGAGCAAACAGGAUUAGAUACCCGUGUAGUCC